rnacentral:rRNA from 1 species
GGGUUAAGUCCCAUAACGAGCGCAACCCUUGUCAAUAGUUGCCAGCGAGUAAUGUCGGGGACUUUAUUGGGACUGCCGGUGUAAAACCUGAGGAAGGUGGGGAUGACGUCAAAUCAUCACGGCCCUUACGUCUAGGGCGACACACGUGUUACAAUGGCCAGUACAGAGGGUCGCUAAUAAGUGAUUAGAUGCUAAUCUCAAAAACUCGUUUCUAUUCCGAAUGGGGGUUGAAACUUGCCUCCCAGGAACUGGGUACCCUUGUAAUUGCAUAUCAGCCAUGAUGCGGUGAAUACGUUCCCGGGCCUUGUACACACCGCCCG